GACAGAAAGUUCCAUGAGGAGAUGGGUUCAAUGAAGCAUAAAGAGAUCAAUUACUUGCAUCUGCUACAGUCCAGUGUUAAAGGUUGCUUGAAAAGCAGCUUGCCUGAAGCUGAAUUCAUAGUUAUUCCACUUAUCUCCAAGUCAGAAAGGGACAGUUUUACAAAUCUCCCUACAUAAGUCAUGAAAUGGAAUUCAACAGCAGAACUGAUUUUCUUCUUUGUGUUUGGUUCUGGCCACAUGAAUGGAGGCUGGUGGACUGCAAACAUGAAGAGCACAUUUUGGAGUGUUUUCUUGAAAUGUUAACUUUAUUAAAAUCAGUCACCCUGUGAGAAAAACAGUAAUGUCAUAAAGAAUCAACUCUCCCUGAUUUAUUUAUCUUUGCUUGUACAUGCUUCAAAAUACAGCCUUGGGGUGAAACACUCUGAAAGCUGAUUGCUUUUACUGAUGUGUGUGAGCCAAAUUAAUAUUUUUUUAUCAUUAUAUCUCUAAUACAUUACUGCUAAUAAACUUUAUUUUAAGAAAA